GUUAGGGCUUCUAACAAAGCGAGAGACUCAGCCAUAAGCGAGGACGACGUUGCCACCGUACGAGCUGCUCCGUCCAGCAACCUCCCGACGGAAUCACGGCAAACGCAGGCGACCGAACCUUCUGAAGCUCCAGAUCUGCUUGAUUUGGGGUUCCAUUUGUUAAAGCUCUUCAACCCAGCUAGAACAGAGUCGAUGAUGCUGAUUGUGUCGGGUUUUCUGUUCUUGAAGAUGGCUUGGUUGCGCGCCUUCCAUAUAUUCUAUAGUGUUGCAGCAACCAGCUCUAGAUUAGGGUUCGACCAAAUUUCCUUUAUCCAAGGACACAAUAAAAACAGGUGCUCCACAGUUUCCACGCAUCGAUUGCAUAAAGAGCAUGUGGGAUCAGGUAUAACUUUUCUUCGAAAUAAAUUCUCUUUAGUUGGGAGAGCAUUCUGGCAUAAAUUCCACAUGAAAAUUCUAACCUUGGGUGGAGAGUGCAAUUUCCAUAUAUCUAUCCAGAGGGUGGGAGGAGGUUGAAAAGAAGUUGAGGCUUGAUUUUCAUUCUGUUUAUUUGCUUU